rnacentral:rRNA from 1 species
UACGAAGGGGGCUAGCGUUGUUCGGAAUCACUGGGCGUAAAGCGCACGUAGGCGGAUUUUUAAGUCAGGGGUGAAAUCCCGAGGCUCAACCUCGGAACUGCCUUUGAUACUGGAGAUCUUGAGUCCAGAAGAGGUAAGUGGAACUGCGAGUGUAGAGGUGAAAUUCGUAGAUAUUCGCAAGAACACCAGUGGCGAAGGCGGCUUACUGGUCCGGAACUGACGCUGAGGUGCGAAAGCGUGGGGAGCAAACAGG